GUUUCUGGUCUGGAGUAGUAGAGGGAGGUAGAGCUAGAGUUAGCUGUGAAGCAGUUCAAGGUUCUCCUCCACUUCUCUUCUCAUGGUCUAACAUUAACCAGACCAGUCAACAUAUCCUUAUAUCCCAGGGUGAGGAUGGUUUUAGCUCAACCCUGUCUAUUCCUGUGGUUUCCAGAUCAGAUGCUGGAUUAUAUACAUGUACAGUGAACAACUCUGCUGGAUCAACUCAGUACACAACAGUUCUUACAGUUAAUUAUUCCCCGGAGUGGGUUGCACCACCUCAAGACUCCAGGGUUACCCUUGGAUCCCGUCUAGUCCUAGACUGCAGGGUGAGAGGAGAACCUAAACCUGAGAUAGAAUGGACCCGGAGAGGAGCUGUAUUGAACCCUGUGACCUGGGAUGGAUACAAGUAA